rnacentral:rRNA from 1 species
GACGAACGCUGGCGGCGUGCCUAAUACAUGCAAGUCGAGCGAACGGACCAGGAGUUUGCUUCUCUGGUGUUAGCGGCGGACGGGAGAGUCACAUGUGGAUAACCUACCUAUAAGACUGGGAUAACUACGGGAAACCGGAUCUAAUACCGGAUAAUAUUUUGAACCGCAUGGGUCAAAAGUGAGAGUCGGUCUUGCUGUCUGUUAUAGCUGCAUCUGCGCUGCAUUCGCUAGUUGGGAAGGAAAUGGCUUACCAAGGCUACGAUGCAUAGCCGACCUGAGAGAGGGGUCGGCGACACGGGAAGUGAGACGGGGCCCAGACUCCUGCGCGAGGGCACAGUCGAGAAUCUUACGCAAUGGGGGAGAGGAUGACAGAGCACGGCGGAGUGAGUGAUGAAGGUGUUAGGAUCGGAAAGCUCUGUUAUUAGGGGUGAACAUAUGUGUAAGUAACUGUGGAGAUAGUGACGGUACCGGGUCAAAAAGCCACGGCUAACUACGUG